GAUGAAGAACGUAGCGAAAUGCGAUACGUAAUGUGAAUUGCAGAUCUCUCAGUGAACCAUCGAAUUUUUGAACGCACAUAGCGCCCGCCGGUCAUUCCGGCGGGCAUGCCUGUCCGAGCGUCGAUGACGCCGCUCGAGCCCCCGUGCUCGGUGUUGGGGCGCUAGGUCUCCCAGAGGCCUAGGCCCCCAAGUAGCAGUGCGCGGUCCGGCUGCGGGCCCCGGGUACAGUAACUUCACUGUUGAGAUGCCCUGGGAGCCGCUGGCUGGGUCAGCCGCAAAACCCCCGACAUAGGCCUUCCUGUCCGCCCCCGGCGGGGAGGGAGACCGCCUAAUGUUGACCUCGGAUCAGGUAGGACUACCCGCUGAACUUAAGCAUAUCAAUAAGCGGAGGA
rnacentral:misc_RNA from 1 species